AACGAACGCUGGCGGCAGGCUUAACACAUGCAAGUCGAACGCAUCCUUCGGGGUGAGUGGCAGACGGGUGAGUAACGCGUGGGAACGUGCCCUUCAGUUCGGGAUAACCCAGGGAAACUUGGGCUAAUACCGGAUACGUGCGAGAGCAGAAAGAUUUAUCGCUGAAGGAUCGGCCCGCGUCUGAUUAGCUAGUUGGUGGGGUAAUGGCCCACCAAGGCGACGAUCAGUAGCUGGUCUGAGAGGAUGAUCAGCCACAUUGGGACUGAGACACGGCCCAAACUCCUACGGGAGGCAGCAGUGGGGAAUAUUGGACAAUGGGCGCAAGCCUGAUCCAGCCAUGCCGCGUGAGUGAUGAAGGCCUUAGGGUUGUAAAGCUCUUUCGUCCGGGACGAUAAUGACGGUACCGGAAGAAGAAGCCCCGGCUAACUUCGUGCCAGCAGCCGCAUACA
rnacentral:rRNA from 1 species